GAAACGAGGUCCUCGGUAACGGGACAUAAAGACUCCUUAUUCUUAUUUCUUAUUUAGUAUUUUGAAUUAAUUCUUAUUUCUAUUUAUUUUAUUUUUUAUUGAAUUUUUAUUUUACAGAAUAAACCUAAACUAAAACUAAACUUAACUAAAUGAAGCGAAGUUUACUGAAAUAGUGUACUUGUACUAUUACUAUAAAGAAAAGAAGA
rnacentral:lncRNA from 1 species